rnacentral:rRNA from 1 species
CUCAGGAUGAACGCUAGCGGGAGGCCUAACACAUGCAAGCCGAGCGGUAUUGUUUCUUCGGAAAUGAGAGAGCGGCGUACGGGUGCGGAACACGUGUGCAACCUGCCUUUAUCUGGGGGAUAGCCUUUCGAAAGGAAGAUUAAUACUCCAUAAUAUAUUGAUUGGCAUCAAUUAAUAUUGAAAGCUCCGGCGGAUAGAGAUGGGCACGCGCAAGAUUAGCUAGUUGGUGAGGUAACGGCUCACCAAGGCGAUGAUCUUUAGGGGGCCUGAGAGGGUGAUCCCCCACACUGGUACUGAGACACGGACCAGACUCCUACGGGAGGCAGCAGUGAGGAAUAUUGGUCAAUGGGUGCAAGCCUGAACCAGCCAUCCCGCGUGAAGGACGACUGCCCUAUGGGUUGUAAACUUCUUUUGUAUAGGGAUAAACCUACCCUCGUGAGGGUAGCUGAAGGUACUAUACGAAUAAGCACCGGCUAACUCCGUG